rnacentral:rRNA from 1 species
AUUGAACGCUGGCGGCAUGCCUUACACAUGCAAGUCGAACGGCAGCACGGAGCUUGCUCUGGUGGCGAGUGGCGAACGGGUGAGUAAUAUAUCGGAACGUACCCUGGAGUGGGGGAUAACGUAGCGAAAGUUACGCUAAUACCGCAUACGAUCUAAGGAUGAAAGUGGGGGAUCGCAAGACCUCAUGCUCGUGGAGCGGCCGAUAUCUGAUUAGCUAGCUGGUAGGGUAAAAGCCUACCAAGGCAUCGAUCAGUAGCUGGUCUGAGAGGACGACCAGCCACACUGGAACUGAGACACGGUCCAGACUCCUACGGGAGGCAGCAGUGGGGAAUUUUGGACAAUGGGCGAAAGCCUGAUCCAGCAAUGCCGCGUGAGUGAAGAAGGCCUUCGGGUUGUAAAGCUCUUUUGUCAGGGAAGAAACGGCGGUUUCUAAUACAGAUCGCUAAUGACGGUACCUGAAGAAUAAGCACCGGCUAACUACGUGC